GACGACGAAGAAGAAAGAAGAUGAUUUCAAGCUAGGGUUUUCAAGUUCUUUAAUUUCUCUUUGAUUUAGCAUGGAAAAUACUCAAGACUCCUCUAUGAAGGGAUAUAAUUUAUUGUAGCGAGAGCGAGAUAAAAUUCUUGGUAUUGAAAGUGAGAAGGCGAUGAGAAGAUCGAAACAAUGAUCAACUAUAACUUGAUAGCAGCCGAUUUGAGCAGUUUUGGAGCAUGUUAAAUCACCGAAUUGAGCCACACAUCGUAGGUUGUAUGACAUCCUUUAUCAGAUUAUACAGUAUGUGUUCUUUUGGAGUACAUGUAUCUUAAAUCAAAAAAAUUCAUCAUGGGCUCAUUACAUCUUUGACGUAUUUGGUAUAUUUGAGGAUUGUUGGUUGUAAAGCAAGUAAAUAUUGAAUGGCUAACAUUUUAUUUGAAUAGUUUGUAUUAUGAGCUACUGAGGUACCCUAUUUUAUAUUAUAGGUAUUGAAUUGUGGAAA